rnacentral:rRNA from 1 species
GGGGAAUAUUGGACAAUGGGCGCAAGCCUGAUCCAGCAAUGCCGCGUGAGUGAUGAAGGCCUUAGGGUUGUAAAGCUCUUUUACCAGGGAUGAUAAUGACAGUACCUGGAGAAUAAGCUCCGGCUAACUCCGUGCCAGCAGCCGCGGUAAUACGGAGGGAGCUAGCGUUGUUCGGAAUUACUGGGCGUAAAGCGCGCGUAGGCGGCUUAUCAAGUCAGGGGUGAAAUCCCGGGGCUCAACCCCGGAACUGCCCUUGAAACUGGUAAGCUAGAAUCUUGGAGAGGUCAGUGGAAUUCCGAGUGUAGAGGUGAAAUUCGUAGAUAUUCGGAAGAACACCAGUGGCGAAGGCGACUGACUGGACAAGUAUUGACGCUGAGGUGCGAAAGCGUGGGGAGCAAAC